AUAUUAUUAAGUGGAGGAAAAGAAACCAAAAGGGAUUCCCCCAGUAGCGGCGAGCGAAAAGGGACCGGCCCAAAGCCAAAUCCCGUUUCUCUUAGAAACCGGGACAUGUGGCGUAUGGGAGACGGAAUUCUUGGAUUUAAAAGGCGGCUCAAGUCCCCAUGAAUGGGGCUACGACCGAAGUGGGUGUGAGUCCCGUUCAGUCGCUCUUUUUCUUCUAAUUUCCGUUUUCCCGGGAGUCGGGUUGCUUGAAAGUGCAGCCCAAAGUGGGAGGUAUGCUCCUCCUAAGGCUAAAUAUCCCCGAGAGACCGAUAGCAAAAAAGUACCGUGAGGGAAAGUUGAAAAGAACUUUGAAGAGAGAGUUCAAUAGUACGUGAAACCGCUUAGAGGUAAACGGGUGGGCCCUCGAAGUCUGAAGGCGGAGAGAUUCAGUACGGGAUUUAUCAGAACCUUUAUUGGGGCGCACGCCAACGAGUCGGUGUCGCUCUGGUUUAGCUUUCUAUUUAGCCCGUGCGCAAUUCUAUUCCGUCGGUAAGAGGCCGCGACUGGUUGGCCGACUGUUGGAAGGACCGCUUUGGGACAGGUAGCCGAUCGAACUCWGGUUCGGUAGGUGUUAUAGCCCUUUGCAAAAGACCGACUGUCGUGCCGACUCAGGACGAGAGAAACCUCGAGUAGCGUUCCCUUCGAAAGAAGCKAUUUUUUACGAUUGGGCCUUUUCGGCGACUGGAGAACACAUUUCAUGUGCCUUUAGUAACGCGAGGGGUCUAUUUUGUAUAGAUCGCCAUGGGAGCCUGAGGUCGGCGGUCAGUAGAUCGGGUCCCACCCGACCCGUC
rnacentral:rRNA from 1 species